rnacentral:tRNA from 1 species
GAGGGUAUAGCUCAGCUAUAGGGUGUGUGCUUAACAUGCACGAGGUCCUGGGUUCAAUUCCCCAGUACCUCCA